UAUUUGCUGCGGGCAGAUAUAGUGAAUGUGUGUAUCGAUACCUCCUGCGGUUACAAUAUAUCCUUUUCCGCCAUGGACUUCAGUAGAAGCUCCGAUAAUUAAAUUUGGCGUUACACCGUCCAUUGUAUCCGGAUUUCCGGCUUUACCAAUACCUACGAUUUUACCAUCUUUAAUACCGAUAUCUGCUUUUACAAUCCCCCAGUGAUCGAUAAUAGUUGCUCCGGUAAUACAAAGAUCCAAUACACCUUCAUCUCUUUUAUUGGUAACAUUUUGCCCCAUACCGUCAC
rnacentral:sRNA from 1 species